UACGAACUGUGCGAACGUUAUUCGGAAUCACUGGGCUUACAGGGUGCGUAGGCGGCUUAGCAAGUCAGGUGUGAAAGCCCCCGGCUCAACCGGGGAACUGCGCUUGAAACUGCUGAGCUCGAGUCAGCUAGAGGUACACGGAACUUCCAGUGGAGCGGUGAAAUGUGUUGAUAUUGGAAGGAACACCGGAGGCGAAAGCGGUGUACUGGGGCUGGUCUGACGCUGAGGCGCGAAAGCUAGGGGAGCGAACGGG
rnacentral:rRNA from 1 species